rnacentral:rRNA from 1 species
GACGAACGCUAGCGGCGUGCUUAACACCUGCAAGUCGAACGGAGUGGCGAACGGGUGAGUAACACGUGGGUGCUCUGCCUUGCACUUCGGGAUAAGCUUGGGAAACGGAGUCUACUCCCGGAUAGUGCAAGAUGAGCUCGCGGCCUAUCAGCUUGUUGGUGGGUUAAUGGCAUACCAAGGCGUCGACUGGUAGCCGGCCUGGGAGGGUGUACGGCCACAUUGGGACUGAGAUACGGCCCAGACUCCUACGGGAGGCAGCAGUGGGGAAUAGUGCACAAUGGGCGGAAGCCUGAUGCAGCGACGCCGCGUGGGGGAUGAAGGCCUCCGGGUUGUAAACUCCUUUCGACAGGGACGCGGUACCUGGAUAAGAAGCACCGGCUAACUACGUGCCAGCAGCCGCGGUAAUUC